UCGGAUUGCAGGCUGCAACCCGCCUGCAUGAAGUUGGAAUCACUAGUAAUCGCGGAUCAGCAUGCCGCGGUGAAUGCGUUCUCGGGCCUUGUACACACCGCCCGUCACACCAUGAGAGUCGGGAACACCCGAAGUCCGUAGCCUAACCGCAAGGGGGGCGCGGCCGAAGGUGGGCUCGAUAAUUGGGGUGAAGUCGUAACAAGGUACC
rnacentral:rRNA from 1 species